AGCAGUAGCCGCGGUAAUACGUAGGUGGCGAGCGUUGUCCGGAAUCAUUGGGCGUAAAGGGAGCGCAGGCGGGCAUGUAAGUCUUUCUUAAAAGUGCGGGGCUCAACCCCGUGAUGGGAAAGAAACUACAUGUCUUGAGUACAGGAGAGGAAAGCGGAAUUCCCAGUGUAGCGGUGAAAUGCGUAGAUAUUGGGAGGAACACCAGUGGCGAAGGCGGCUUUCUGGACUGCAACUGACGCUGAGGCUCGAAAGCCAGGGGAGCGAACGGGAUUAGAUACCCGCGUAGUCCCUGUCUCUUAUACA
rnacentral:rRNA from 1 species